GAUAAAUUUUUUAUAUUUUUUAUAAUUUAUUAUAAAUUUAUUUUACAUAUAAAUUUUAGUGUUAAAUUUUAAUUAUUUUAAUAAUAAUUAAUUGAUUUACAUAGUAAUUAAAAUUAAAAAUUUAAGAAAUUAAGAUUUAGUAAUAUUUAAAUUAAUAACUAAUUUUGUGCCAGCAGUUGCGGUUAAACAAAAGUUAAAUUAAAUUAUUUCAGGAUUAUAAUAAAUAAUUAAAAUUAAUAUAAAUAAUAAAUUAUUAAGUGAAAUUUUAAUUUAUAUAAAAAUUAUUUUAAAUUUAUGAUUUAAUAAAUUUUACAUUAAACUAGGAUUAGAUACCCUAUUAUUAAAAAUUUAAUUAAAAAUACUAAAAUAGUAAAUAAUUAAUUAUUGAAACUUAAAUAAUAUGGCGGUAUUUUAGUUCAUUUAKAGGAAUCUGCUUAGUAAUUGAUAAUCCACGAAUAAAUUUACUUAAUUUAUAAUUUUGUAUAUCAUUGUUAAAAAAAUAUUUUUAAAUAAAUAUAAUAUUUUAAAAUUUAUAAUAAAAUUUAAUUCAGAUCAAGAUGCAGAUUAUAAUUAAGUUAGGGUGGAUUACAAUAAAUAUAUUUAUACGGAAAAAUUUUUGAAAAAUUAAUUGAAGGUGGAUUUAAAUGUAAUUUUAAUUAGUUUAUUAAAAUGAUUAAAAAUUGAAAUAUGUACAUAUUGCMCGUCACUUUCAUUUAAAAAUUGAAAUAAGUCGUAACAAAGUAGAGGUACUGGAAAGUGUUUCUAGAAUGAA
rnacentral:ncRNA from 1 species